ensembl:lncRNA
GGAGUGUGUAAUUGUUUUUACAUUUAAGGGUUUAUAUUGUCUCCUCAUGCAAUAAAGAAAAACGGUUUUAAUGUCUUGUCCCAGAAGAGCAGGGAAAAUGGGGGAAUUGCUUCCCCAAAGCCCUCGUUGCGGUAUGUGUUCAUCCCGAGAAGCAGGCAGGUAAAGUAUUCAGCAAGAUUUCUCUGUUUGCUUUACAAGGAAUGCUUGGACUGCCUGCUGAAGUGGAGUGCUGCCUCUGGGUGUCUGUCUUUGUAUCUGUGCGUGAAUUCGGCCAACUUUUGUGCAUACAUGUGUGUGUUUGUGUGUGUGUGUGUGUGUGUGUGUGUGUGUGUGUGUGUGUGUGUGUGUUAUAAAAGCUUGUCAGGCAUGUUUGCAACAUCUUAAGUGGUGUGUUUUAAUUGUGUGAUUCUGUAUGUGUGUGUGUUAGUGUGCAUCCAGUAUCCAUGCAUUACUGCGUCUGCAUCUACCACGUCCUCUGAACAGGGGCUGUGUUCUUAAACGCUGAGGUUUUUGGCAUGUGAGUCAAUCUGGGACUGGUCUCCAUCAUGUGACCCUGCAGGCGCAGAUGGCGAGAGGGGCGGCCCUCAGGCACACGUGUCAGAGUCACAUGGGCGCAGGGGUGGAGCCUGGCGACGAGGGGAGUUGGUGAUCAGGUCUGGUUCUCAAUGUUCCCUCUUGUAUUUGUUCUGCUUUUUUUUCCUUUCCUGACAAAGGACUUAGACAAAGAAUGCUAGGACAUAUGGAUGCAAUCAGCUCAAUAUCAAAUGAUGGAGAGUGCAUGUAAAAAUUCUGGCUCCCUUUAAACCAACCAUUCAGCAGGCUUAAUUUAGACAAUACAUAAAACCACAUCUUUGCAUGGGGUUUCUUUGUUGUUGCGUUGUAAGCACUCGUUCUCAACACAGACGUGAACAUAGACUCAGUAUACCUCUCCCUUGAGAUAAGAACAAAAAGAACACACGCUCCAAGCAAGACAAAUGCAAAACAAAUGGAGAAAACCCAGAUGCUCUAGCGCAGGAAAAGCAGAAUAUUUGGGGUGAGGUCUUGUUUAAACAGUGGGCUUGCUGUGGCUUUAUGGCACUUUGACAAGUUUAUUCAUAAUCAUCCCCAUUAACAUGAUGGACUAAUGAGUAGAGAGCUUCCAAGGGGAAGAGGCUAAUUGCUAACACGUUCCAGCACAGUUCUUCACUUCUUAAACCUGCCAAGACACAUCACCGCCAAAGCGACAGCACAAGUGCAGAGAAAACAACAACAUUCAAUUUCCAUUAAAUAUUGGUAGAAAGGUAUCGCCACUAAUGCCAAAAUCCAAAACUCUUCUAAAUAAGUAAACUUCACAUACACUUACACCAACACUCAAACAACAGACACAGAGCCAAUUAUGGGCAUACACUCUCUCACACACUUACACGUAUACACAAGGGGUUAAAACAUGUUUACACAGUUUAAACCAUAAUUCUGUUCCCGUGAAAGAAGAGUAAAAAUGAUGUAUGGCAUUGUUAGACUUGACCUUUGCCUUUUCAAACUCUUCGUCUUCAACUACUGGCAGCUCAGUCUCAGAGGUCGUGGGUUAUUGUUGCCACGGCGAUCAUACCCCCCAAUCAUCUGUACAUGUGAUGCUGGCUCAUGUGAAUCCUUCCCUCACUUUCUCAUCCCAUAAUGGUCAUUUAUGUCAACGGAGGGACAUUAAAAUGCUGCUGAAACAUGAACCCAAUUAGCCAUCACUCUUCUUAAGCAUGUUGAAAGGAAUGAGGUCGUGACAUUGUGAACCCAACAACAACAGCAAAAAACAUUAGGAGUUAAAUUAAGAGCAAAAAUAAUAACUAAACAAACAAAAAAACGGCAGGCGCCCAUCUUGACAGAGACUAUGAGUCAUCAAAAAAGCAGAGCAUGCUGAAUACAGGCAGCAUUCUUUGCUGACAAGGUUGUACCUUCUCAUUGGAAUUUAAAGAUGAGUCUGGGAUUCAGUUUUGCUAAAGGUUGUUGAUGUUUGUGUUCAACAGCCAAUCAAAUUACACCCCUCCCUUCUGUGCUCUUGAAUCACCGUGGCCGAUUGGCUGGGAUUGUUUAUGGUUCAGUCUGUGCAACUAUGUUUGUUUCCCAUUUACAGAGCUAGGACUGUGGACGAAUACCGUCAUAUUUGAGCACCAACACUGAAAGGACAGCUAGAGGACGAAACAACGUGAAGAACCGGAGUCAACUUCUGAUAAUGGAAGCACAGUUGUGGAAGUACUGCUGUCAUUGAUGACAAACUGCAUCUCAAUCCCACUGGUAGCUGAUUGGAUUUCCUGGAGAGUCAGACCGAGAGCGGCACAUGCAGAGCAUAUAAACAAUCUUAGACCAGAUCGAAGGGAGAUUAAGUGUGAGGAAACACUAUUUUUUUGUGAACACAUUUAUCUUAGUGUGGUGAAAACACAUGAAAAGCAUAAGAAAAACCAUAGCCCACAUUUCAGAGCAAAAUAUAUUGUAAAUUGUUUUUUUUGUGCUGUAGUGAAACUUGUCCUGACCCUGUAAAAAGGUAAACUUCUUCAGAUGUCUACAGUUGUAAACAAAGUUCACUUAAAUAGGCUAGUCAUAAACUACAACAUGGUGUUGAAAGUAAUCCAUUAUUUUGUUAAAUCAUUUUUAGAUGUAUCUGAGAAGAAAGAAACGGUAUUAAACAUUGAUGACCUAUGGUUUAACUGUUUUGAUGUCAUUUUCCCACAAGAAUGUGAUAUGAUCUGCAUAAAUCAAAAGGACCAUCACUCCUGUCCUCUGCAACAGAUUGCCCUAAUCGACUCAAACAUCAUGUCUCACAUUGUACCUUUACAGAGUCUGGACUUUUGAUGGUCCAAAUCAAAUUUGAUUUUGACACAGUAAUCCAAAUUGCAUGUCAAUGGACUUAUAUAAUUGUAUAAAUAUAUAAAAAUGCAGAUAGUGUAACCUGGGAGGCGUACAUAAUCUCAUUCCCACAGCCCCCACACCAGGGUUCCAGUGUGUUGGCGGAGGCCUAGUCUCCAUCUUUUAUUUGAUUUAGAGAACUCUCUCCUCUCCUCUCCUCUCCUCUCCUCUUCUCUCCUCUCCUCUCAUGUCAUGUUCUCUCACACUCUUCCCUUGGUUAUUAAAUGGCCCAGUAUGGGAUGUCUGUGUUAUUGCACUUCCAACAUUGACUGAAAACACCGCUUGGCAUUUAAGACAACAUGAUUGUUGUGAUUGUUUUAUGAAAAUAUAUUGAAGUUAAUAAUGUCUCUGUCAUUUGCGAGAACAGUAUCUGUGGCAAGUCGAUGAUGUCAAAUGUAUAUAAUGCAGAUACUGUAAAUAUAUAUUCUUCAUGGUAAAAAUAAUGACAUUGGAGAUGAUGUUACGAACACACAGGUAUUAUAAACAUCCUUUACUAUGAAGUCAUGCUGAAUGGGACAAUACUUCUACUCACUUGAAACAACCACAAGUUAGUCAUUAAACAUUGCAAGUGUAUCCUAUAAAUCUCUGUUUGGACAACUGACACAACGAUACUAAUGAGAUCUAUAGCCCCCUGAACGUAGCCAUCUAGCAUGUUUGGUUUAGCGCACAGAUUGAGCCAAUGAAUGAUAUCAUUUUCAUAUUAUUUAUGGCUUGGAGACUUCAUAACACAAAGGUAUGCCAUUUUGGCUCUGUGACUGAGGCGCCAUGUGCUGGCAUCUGGGUUGCCGUAAAUAGACCUGCUGAUAAUCUUGACUUUUAUUCUAAUAUUGUUGACAUUGCCUUUACUCCCUGACACUGACAUCAUUAUUUGACACGAUUCCUUUUAAAUGAUUAGAUUUUUGUUUUUCAAAAGAACAUAAAUGUCAUAUUAAUGUAAAAUCACAACAUCUCUCUGGCUGUUUAUACAAGGAAGCCAUUGAUGUGCAUUAGCUACCAACCACCAUUAACAGUCCAGGGGAAUACGCACUCAGAACCCCUCAGUAUGUUUAGUGGAGCAGUCGGUGUAGCGAGGCACAGCUAUAGGAAUUACAUUUCAUAACUUUGGAACAAAACAACAAAAAUGUAGCAAAGAAAUAUAACACCCUGCUAUAUGUAACACCUUGCUGUAGGACAAGCACAUCUUCUGUUUGACUUGCCUUAGGACCUGAUGGAAAAAAAAAUAGUUUGUGGAAGGAGUAAAGGAAGCUUUAGUUUCCAUUUCAAAUGUGAAAACAGCCUACACUCACUAGAAUGAAACAUCCCAGAUGCAUCUUACAACAAUGAUAUUUCAGUCUAAUUGUAUGGUUAUCAUUAAAGGGUAUUGCCAACAAUUUUACAAAAUUAUACUUAUACAAUUGUACAAUUACACUGCCUAAAAAACAUUUUAGUGGACAGCAUGCAUGUUAAUCCUGGCAUCAAGUAUAAAAAAACGGCAGCAGCAGAAGCCUCAUGUUCAGGUAUGUACAAGCCCUUGGAAGCCAUUUUACAUUCUGUUAUUGUCUAAAAUGUUGUCCCAUAAGUUAGCCUAUGAUUCACUGACUGUUUUUAUGAUAACAUUUUGUUAUCUUCCAUUUAUCCUUCAUGACUAAAGACUACCUCUUCCCAAGGUAUACAGAAACUUAACAGGAGGUUAUUUGCACAAAAUUAGAAAUAAAUCACAAUAAAACACAGGACACAGCAGUAUUGCACAACAACCCAUAAGUAAUAAUUUAACAUAUUUGUGAACAUUUUAUACCAUUAAAGUAUGUGAAAUUAUUAAUAGAGGCCUUCCACCAUUGCAAUUGUCAACAAUAGCUUUCAGAAUUCCAACUCAGAAAUGAUGCCGUUAUUGUAAACCUGCCUUUCCUUCAAACAAUGGAACGCAUAACAACCAGGAGAACCCAAAACAUCAAGAGUUCAUCAUUGAAAUGCAUGAUAGCCGUCGAUGUAAAAAACAAAACAAAAACAAAUAGCUGUUGCCUUGAUCCAUGUGUUCACUGGUCUCCUUACCUGCCAUUGCAGCAAGGGUGAGAGCCCCCCCCCACCCCCACCCUCCAGUUCUGCAAUGGCACACAAGCGUUUUUUUUAAUUUAUUUAUUUAUUUAUACAUUGUUGCCAGAGACAGCUGCAGGAUUGUGUUGGCUGUGAUGUGCGCUGGAACUUAUCAACAGGACUGUCUUUGAUGAAUGGAGGUUGCACUUAGCAUUAUAUCAACAUAUGAUUGAGUGGGGAUGUGUUGGUUGUGGAGUUCUGGCCGAUAAAAAAAAAUGUUGAACGGUUCCAAUGAGAGUUCUGAGCACAGUCACAUGACCCCCGAUGUCCUUCAGAGAUUAUGAAAGGAAGCUUGGCUUUCUAGACAGCAAGUUGGACAGGUUCCUAGACUGAAUUCCUGGCAUUGGCCUUGGUCAGCCCAGAGCAUGUUCCCAAGUUACAAAAAAAAGCAAAGAAAUAAAUAAUACCUUUCAAAUAUACAUGUGGUUGCCUGGGUUGUGGAUCCUCCAGGCUGUUCUUCCUGCCGUAUCUGAAUGUAGUGCUGUCUGCAAAUCAACAUUGUAAUGGACCCCAAUCAAAGAGCAAGGGCUCCUGUUGUCAUACUCAGACUCCAGAUUUCAUUUUCAUUUCACAGCAGAUGUUGAUUGAAAUUCGUACUCAGUGGCCUGGAAAUGUUUUGGAAGAAACUUGAUUGUAGAUGUGUCUCUAUGGGGGCUGUUUUCUUGAACAUUAUUUGUCUUAAAGAAAGAAAUGCCCAAUGCACAGUGAACAUCACAAACACUUGCAGGUUUAGUGUAAGCUCAGAGUUGAGCCUGCUACUGUUUUAUGUCAGGUGUGCAAAUGAACAGCAAAUGAACAACCUAGACACUGUUUAAAAGUAUUACAUUUUGCAUGGAAUAUUCAGUGUCAAAUGGGGCCUCUGUGAGACCGAAAUAUGGUCGACUUUGCCAGUGCAGGUGUUAAAAACAAUUAGUAAUUAAUUGGAGCAAAGAAAAGAAACAUAAUAAAUGGCAACCACCUGGACCAAGCAAAUGCAUUUGGGCUGUUAAUUAUCAAUCAUGCUAGGGCGUGUUGAAAUUUCAGACACUGUUCUCACCCAAAUAGAGAAAUAUUCAGGAAAUGAACCAUACCUGGUGUGUUUUUCAUGUACUGAGGCAAAACAACACACUCUGUGUACCCUGCGCAGGAUGAUUGUGGAACACAAGGGAUGCUGGAAUCAAUAUGCAGUAUUAAACAAAAAACGACUUCAAGGUUUUGGCAAUAGAAAGGUAGGAACAUCUAGAAGAUGACAGAAGACAUGGCUUCUACUGAUAUUCCUUGCUGGUAAUUUGUUGUGGCAUAUAGAGCUGAAUGACAACACUCAAGAUGGCAAAUAUCCUGCAGCUGGCUUGCAGAAAUAACAGUUUCUCCUUUCUUUCUCUAUCAGCAUAAUGACAAUGUAAAUGGCCAUUCUGCUGAAACAGUAGAAUGAGGACCGGAGGGGGGUUUCAACAGAGUAUAUGGAUUCUUUGAAAAUACGGUUUGUAAUUUUAAACCAAAAGACAGUGAAAUACAACAUGGCUGGAUCUUAUGCCUCCCUGGUCAUGAACUCUGUAGCAAUGCUAAAAGCAAUGUGAUAUGAACAAGGCAUCUGAUGGAAGAACGUUUACAUAUCUUUAAAAUCAGCUACAGUGCAUUAUGGCAUAUAACAUGUGCAUUGGAACAGAUUGUCAACAUUUUAUGACUGUAAUUUCUGAUUAGGAGUUCCAUUUCAUCUCAAAUGUAUGAGAAAAUUUAGAUUAAAUUAGAUUUCAUAAUCAAAUGUUGACAAUUUGAUGGUCAAACACUUUAACAAAUUUUAACAAAUAUAUCUUAACAUUAUUAGUCUUAACAGUCUACUGAUGUUAACAGUCUUAACGUUCCCUUACAGAACAUGUAUCAUGAUUUCAGUUAUUCCAAAGGUAAAGUAACCAUAUCAAAGCUACAAAGUUAUUUCAGUGCUUAUGGUUCCAUUCCAACUUGCUCGCCCCCAAAUUGUGAUCAGUGCAGAAAUGUAUCAGUGUGGAUGCUACAGUGUGGGACAAUUUAUCUUGGACAAUAAAGCAACAAAAAACAUCUGAAACCAAACAAAAACACCAUACAUAUAUAUAUAUUUAUACGUCCCUGUCCAGCAUAUAAACUUGGGAAUUCAGGGCUGUCAUUCUCGUGCCAAAGGUAAUAUAAAAUUAUUGAACAUCAUGCUGCCAAAGAGAGAAUGCAUGCGUCAACAUUCAUUUUGCGAUUUAAUACCAUGGCUAGCUAGGACACGGAGAAGACUGGAACGUGUUUCAAAAGGGAAGGGGGGGGCGGGGGGCAAUGCAGCGGUGAGACCUGGUGGUGGUUGUGCUGUUGCAGAUAGUGAUGAGAGGUGGAUGGAUCUGAUCAUACCGCAGAUGUUUUCGGUUGAACUGGGAAUGUUCACAAAGCCUUAAUAUCCAUCAUUAAAUUGCCAUUACAGGAUUAUUACUUAGCAUGACAAGAUCGAUUAAAUUCAUGUGUAUGGACUCAUUAGG